rnacentral:lncRNA from 1 species
GCGGUGGACCAGCUGCGUAACGGUUCACACACUGAUGGCGCCUGGAGGUUUGGCGAAAUACUGACAGGAUGCGACGUCAACGGGAGCGCAGGGCCAAGAUACCCUUUAUAUCAAACCGUCUAUCCUGGAGCAGAAAAAUCCUGUCUUCAUUGCUAUAGCUACAGAUUCAGAAAUGAGCAUGUAACAAAUUCAGGCCAAAGAGAGGCAAUGGAAAUCAGAGAAACACUGUUCCUGAAAGCUUCUGUCACUCAAGAAUCCAUGAAACAUUCAUGAACUUCACAUCAGGUAAAGGUGUCCUUGUUUACAUAUUUGCAGAUUUGCUUAUGCAUGCCCUCAACAAGAUUUCACAAAUG